rnacentral:rRNA from 1 species
AGUGAACGCUGGCGGCAGGCCUAACACAUGCAAGUCGAACGGCAGCACAGCAUUAGCAAUACUGUGGGUGGCGAGUGGCGGACGGGUGAGGAAUACAUCGGAAUCUGCCUAGUCGUGGGGGAUAACGUAGGGAAACUUACGCUAAUACCGCAUACGACCUACGGGUGAAAGCGGGGGAUCGCAAGACCUCGCGCGAUUAGAUGAGCCGAUGUCCGAUUAGCUAGUUGGCGGGGUAAUGGCCCACCAAGGCGACGAUCGGUAGCUGGUCUGAGAGGAUGAUCAGCCACACUGGAACUGAGACACGGUCCAGACUCCUACGGGAGGCAGCAGUGGGGAAUAUUGGACAAUGGGCGCAAGCCUGAUCCAGCCAUGCCGCGUGGGUGAAGAAGGCCUCGG